CCCUUAGAUGUCCUGGGCCGCACGCGUGCUACACUAACGCAUACAGCGAGCACUUUCCAGUUCCGAGAGGCUACUGGUAAUCAUCAAUAUGCGUCGUGAUGGGGAUAGAUCUUUGGAAUUCUGGAUCUUGAACGAGGAGUGCCUAGUAAUCGCAGGUCAUUAGCCUGCGAUGAUUAAGUCCCUGCCCUUUGUACACACCGCCCGUCGCUACUACCGAUUUCGAGUGGUCAGGUGAAUCUUUCGGACUGUGGGCGCCCUUGAGGUGUUCGCGGAAAGUCAGGUAAAUCUUAUCACUUAGAGGAAGUAAAAGUCGUAACA
rnacentral:rRNA from 1 species